GAGUUAAUUAUCUAAUGGUUAAGAUUAUUACCUUUUAAGUAAUAUAUAUUGGUUCAAUUCCAAUUUAACUCA
rnacentral:tRNA from 1 species